rnacentral:rRNA from 1 species
AACGAACGCUGGCGGCGUGGAUAAGACAUGCAAGUCGAACGGGACUGUUGAGGUAGCAAUAUCGCGACAGUCUAGUGGCGAACGGGUGCGUAACACGUGGAUACAUUCCGGGAAGCGGGGGAUAGCCCAGGGAAACUUGGAUUAAUACCGCAUGUGGUCGAAAGACUAAAGGUGGGGACCGCAAGGCCUGCCACUUCCCGAUUGGUCCGCGGCCUAUCAGCUAGUUGGUGAGGUAAAAGCUCACCAAGGCUACGACGGGUAGCUGGUCUUAGAGGACGACCAGCCACACUGGAACUGAGACACGGUCCAGACACCUACGGGUGGCAGCAGUCGAGAAUCUUUCACAAUGGGGGCAACCCUGAUGGAGCGACGCCGCGUGGAGGAUAAGGUCUUCGGAUUGUAAACUCCUGUCAUGCGAGAACAAGGUUG